UGGAGGGGACAGGGGACACCGGCAGGGGUGACAAAAGUGGGGACAGAGGGGACAUGAACGGGACACAAAUGGGGGACAAAGUGACACAGGAGGGUUCACAACAGGACACAGGUGACAGUUGGGGACACAAUGGGACACGGGUGACACAGUUGGGGACGCAAGGGAGACAAAAGUGAGGACAAAUUUGGGGUUACAGUGACACAAAAAAGGACACAACGAGAGACGGACGGGGACAAAAGCAGGGACACCACUGCGGACACAACCACAGUGCCACAGCCCCGAAACGGUGACAAAACAGGGACAAAAUAGUGACAAAACCAGGUGACAACAAUGUGAGGGCCACAACAGGCAUGGCCGAGUGUAGCAGGGACCCUGCUCAGGGUGUAUGUGGGGCAUUCAGGUGUCACCACACCCUCGGUGUCACCUCGUGUGGCGUUGUCACCAUAGUGGGGGUGUGGGGUGUCCCACUGUGCUGUGUGGGGCUGUCACACAGUGUGAAAUGUCACAUUUGUCACAUUUUGUGUCUGGCUGUGCCAUGUGGGGUUGUCACACGGUGUCACAUGUCACUUUUGUCACUUUUUGUGUCACAUUUGUCACAUUUUGUGUCUGACUGUACUAUGUGAGGCUGUGUCAGGUUGUACCUUUAGGCUGUACCUCAGAUUAUGUCACAUUUGGCACAUUUUGUGUCACAUUUGUCACAUUGUAUAUCCAACUGUACCACAUAAAGCUGUGUCAGGUUGUACCUCAGACUUGUGACAUUUUGUGUAACAUCUGUCACAUUUUGUGUCUGACUGUGUAGUGUGGGGCACUGUGUCAGGUUGUACUUUUGGGUUAUACCUCAGACUGUUACAUUUGUGACGUUUUGUGUCACAUUUGGUGUCCGACUGUGAUGUCUGGGGCUGUCACAUGGUGUCACAUUCGUGUCACCUGUUACUUCACGUCUGGCUGUGCCGUGCUCAUACCAUGGCCCAGUGACACCCUGUGAUGUCACACCUGUGAUGUCACCCCUCCCCUGGUGACAAGGGGGAAACUCCCCCCACUCCUGACCCCCCAAAUUUCUCCUUCUCUGCCCCCAAAUCCCCCCAAACCCCUCUUGUCCCUCACAAAACCCCGUUUUCCUUCCCCCCAAUCCCUCUCUCUGCCGUUUUCCCCCCAAAUUCCCCUUUCUUGCCAUAAUUAUCCCAAAAACCUCCUGCUCCUCCUGGAUUCCCCUCCCUGAUCUCCAAACACCAAAAUUCUCCUUUCCCCCCCCCCCCCCCCCAUUUAUGGCCCCUAGUCCUUCCUGCCCCUCCAAAAUUCUCCUCAAACAUUUUUUUUCUGCUCCUGCCCCUCUAAAAGUCCCUUUCCAUUCCGCAAUUAUAACCCCACACCUCUCCUGCUCUGCCAACAACCUUCAAGCCCUUAAUUGCACCCCCAACCCCUCCUGCCCCCUAAGAUUUCCCUUUCUCGCUCCUAAAAUACUCCUGAAUCCCGCUGCGUCUCGCUAAACCCCUUCCCCAGCUCCCCUCCAGAACAGGCCGCAAAGCCUCGGCCUUUCCUAGCGGCCACAGCCGGGUCGGGAGCGCCGGGAGCGGCUGGGCCGGGCGGGCGAGGCCGGGGCUGCACAGGCCGCGGCUGGAGCGGCUCUUUGCCCAUUUCCGGCACUUUCCGCCUUUGCUUCGGCAUCUUUCGUCAGGCUCUUCGGCGAUCUCCGCCCACUUCCGUCAGAACUUCGGGACUCUGCGUCCAUCUCCGCCAGCUCUGAGGUCACUCCGUCACCCUCCCUCCGCCCCCGCCAUUUCUCGGCACUCGGGCUCGGGGGGGCGGUGCUUUUAAAAUAAAUUAUUCAUGAACCGA